UAUAAGGACAUUUUUUUUUCACUCACAGAGUGUCAUCAGAGCAAAUUUGUGGUCUCUUAAUAUUCUCUAGUGGACUGUAAAUUUUGAACAUGUCCCUAUCAAAGGGAAAAUGGGACAUCAGGAAGUGUUAGGAAUGCGUAGUUUCCAGUUAGAAUGGAGUCAAUGUGACAUUUUGUAUGAUACACUAUGUUCUCUGCUCAAAGAUGUUCCUGGGACAUAAAAAGAAACUUUGUCAACUUUUAUGCCAAGUUAUGAACAAGGGAGAAACUGGCACAGCUUAAGCUGGAUCUACCUUCCCAAGGGGUGGUCCUUUGGCCACAUGAUUGACUGGCCCAACUGAAUUAACUCUAAAGGGAGGAGACAAUGACAUGUCUCCACCAUGAGGCUCACAAUUUGGAUGGUUUAAGAAGACACAUACUCCCUGUCACUGCUGUCUAGAAUGUUCACCAGAGGCCCAAGCUAUGGACUGCUCAAUCUAGGACUGAUGACUCCAGAACUUAACAUAAUUUUAUCUUCUUUCUUUAUAAAUUAGUUUACUCCACUAUUUUGUUAAUAGUAGUGUGGAGCUGAGUAACACAGAAAGAAAUUUGGAGGUUGAGAUGAUUUGUUGAAGUUAAGCUGAGGUUUCCUGGGAGGCUCAGAAGCUUGUAUGGAAUUUAAGAUUCAAUUUUUUGCUGGACACAGUGGGACUCAAUUAAUAAACCACCUUUAACUGA